rnacentral:rRNA from 1 species
UACAGAGGGGGCAAGCGUUAUUCGGAAUUAUUGGGCGUAAAGGGCGCGUAGGCGGCUUGACAAGUGGCGGGUGAAAUCCCACGGCUUAACCGAGGAACUGCCUGCCAGACUGUCUUGCUUGAGACCGGGAGAGGUGAGUGGAAUUCCCAGUGUAGCGGUGAAAUGCGUAGAUAUUGGGAGGAACACCAGUGGCGAAGGCGGGUCGCUGGGCCGACACUGACGCUGAGGCGCGAAAGCCAGGGGAGCGAACGGG